GAUUUCAAAAAUUCAAAAGUAUAAAAUCUUUGACACUGACUUAAAAAAAUCUACAGCCGGGACAGGAACUGCAGAGUGAGGUAAUUUUAACAGCCAAUAUUGGGGUAUGUGUUAACAGUAGGGUGGCAAAGUGCAUUCCUGGUGGACUGCUGUGGAAGUUAUUUUUUGGUCUCACUGAGCACUCAAUUACUUUUAAUUAGACUAAAAGUUAACACUAGUUCCUAAUUGUGAGGUUAAUUUUCCUUUGACUGACUUAUUGUAUGUUGUAUUCCCCCAAAGUGUGUCCCCCAUAUGCUCUGAUUGGUGUAAUUAAUGGAGAGUUGUGUAAAUACAUUUCACAUUACUGUUUGUUAGGCUAUUUAUCCAAGAGAGAAAAAGGCACUGUAUGUAAAUCUGCUUGGAGAAAAUGCAUGGCAAAUUGAAAAAUGCAAAGCUGUUACCAGGUAUGUAAUUGUCUUUAUUUUAAUGCAUGCAGGUAAUUACCCAAGGUUUUUUAUAUUGCAGAAUAUACAAAGUAAUGAAAAAGUCUGUUAAAUCUGUGAUUCUAGGUAUUUAGAGCAAGACGUUUGUAUUUUUUCUUUUGAAGAAAAUGGUUAAGAUAAAUUCUUUUCUGAGGAAAAAAGGAUGGACAGUAUCCAGAUGGGAAUGCUCCACUGUUCCUCAUCCAAAACAACAGGACAGUGUGUCCUGUGGAGUAUUUGUUUGCAAGACAGUUUAGAUGAUGUGUGCCGCUAUUGUGGUGAAAGGACCAGUUCUUCAGGCAUGGAGACAAGAGAGUCCAUUGAGAAAUGGGUAUUUGUUUUUCCUACAUUCUGUAAUGAUGUGCUGUUCAAAAGAAACUGCCACUAAAUAUUCAAUGAAGUCUUAUUAAUAACAUUAUAAUGAUGUAUCACACUAUGUCAGAUACAUUUUUGUUAAUAAUGAUAUAAUGUGUGUUUCACAGCGAUGGACUGGCGUUUAAAGUUUAUACCAUGUAUGACACAUGCAUAAUAAGAUUACUUGUAUAUGUAUUUAAAACCCAAUGGUUUAAACACCAACGAUCUGGAUUUAGCCAAACUAAUUUAUAAAAGUAGCACAAUAAUUUAAUAAGUUAAUAAACAUGCCUGUUGCGUAGUUACCUCUAUAACCUGUUUUUGUAUUUUUACUGAAACACAAGAUAAUGCUUUUUAUUCUGACAAUAUUUCUGUUUUAUCGUAGUGAUGGAUGGAAGAGCGUGCACGUUGAAAUGCGAGCGCCGAGGUUUUGGGCUGCAAUGUGUAAUCGUUGGAACAACUAACUGUAUUAACAUUCAUUGGUUAAACCGGUGCAUGUGACCAUCGUCAGCUCCGAGUAAAUCUCAUGAACAUGUGAUGUCGCAACUCAAAACAAUCAGGCACCCCCGAGUCAGAUCACAACUAAAAACAAAAUGUUCAGUCAGGGGAUGCAGAAUUCAAGGGGGUGCAGGAUUCGUCAUAACACCGGAAUUAAUGGCUGCCAGGUCCAGUAGAGAUAACAACAGGCUUGUGUGUAUUUAUAUAUAAUACUGUAGGUUAUAUUCAAAAUAAUAAAAA